GGAUUGAGUGAGUUAUCUAUACUUUUGCCGUGAGAUUGUAACAGAAUCACUGAGACAUGGUUUGGAAUCGCCGUUCAUGGUUGCAGGGAUGUAGUUGUCGUUGAAACGCAGAGAGAUUAGAGUUGCAUGUUUUCUCCGAAUUCCCACGACUUCCAUGUGAUUUUUCUAGUGAUUUUCCUCCAGUCAAGAAAGGCAACCCAAGCAUUAAGUCUGCCGGGAAAAA
rnacentral:lncRNA from 1 species